rnacentral:snRNA from 1 species
AUAUGUGAGGGUGAUCUAGCUAUGACAUCUGUCAUCUCAUUCAUCGCCAGGGUUGAUUCAGCUGAUCUGGCUGGCUAGGCGGGUGUCCCCUUCCUCCCUCACCGCUCCAUGUGUGUCCCUCCUGAAGCUGCGAGCUCCCGUCGAAGAGGACGGCCUUCCCUGAAUAGAGAUGACAGGUCUUGGGUCAAAGGUAUACGAGUAGCUAUGCUCCCCUGCUAGAACCUCCAAACAAGCUCUCAAAGUCCAAUAACCCUGAUAGCAAGAAGGAGAAAGAGAAGGAGGAGGAGAAAGAGAAGGAAAGAAUAAUAAAAAUGAAGAA